UGUAGACGUGAACUUGUAAAACUGAAUUAGUAAAAGUUAUGUUCUUGAAAAUUAAAGAAUUUGGCGGUAUUUUAGUCUAUUCAGAGGAACCUGUCCUGUAAUUGAUAAUCCACGAUUAAUAGUACCAAUGUUUUUAAUUUGWAUAUCGUUGUAGUUUAAAUAUUUUAGGAGAAUUAUAAUAUUUAAAAUUUUUAAUAAAGAAAGUUAAUCAGAUCAAGAUGCAGUUUAUAUAUUGGUAGAGAUGGGUUACAAUAAAUAUAUUUAUGGAAAAAUAGUUGAAAAUUAUUUUGAAAAUGGAUUUGAAAGUAAUUUUAUAUAUAUAUGUAAGAUGAUUUUAGCUCUAAAAUAUGU
rnacentral:rRNA from 1 species